ACGUCUCUGCGCAUGCGCCGGGCGCCAGCUUCUAGUACUUUCGACGCGUCUGCUGAUGUAGUCCCUCAGUGCGCGUCCAGACGUCGGAGGUGGAGGUUGUGGGUUUCACUGUUCGAGAGCAGGGACGAAAAGCCCUUCUUGGUCUUACGUUCCGAAAAGAAGGCGUGCGUUGGGCCUUUCUUUCAGUCGUGAGGGAGGCGUCGACGGCCUGCGAAGUCCGGAGUUGAGGCUUGCGGGAUCUUUUCCGGAGAAAGCGCAGGCUAAAGCCGCAGGGGAAGAUGUCCAACUACGUGAACGACAUGUGGCCGGGCUCGCCGCAGGAGAAGGAUUCGCCCUCGACCUCGCGGUCGGGCGGGUCCAGCCGGCUCUCGUCGCGGUCUAGGAGCCGCUCUUUUUCCAGAAGCUCUCGGUCCCAUUCCCGCGUCUCGAGUCGGUUUUCGUCCAAGAGUCGGAGCCGGAGGAGCAAGUCAAGGUCCCGUUCCCGAAGGCGCCACCAGCGGAAGUACAGGCGCUACUCGCGGUCAUACUCGCGGAGCCGGUCGCGAUCCCGCAUCCGCCGUUACCGAGAGAGGCGCCACGGAUUCUCCAGGAGAUACUACCGGUCUCCUUCGCGGUCCCGGUCCCGGUCCCGGUCCCGUAGCAGGUCGCACUCUCGGGGAAGGUCAUAUUGCGGAAGGGCGUACGCGAUCGCGCGGGGGCAGCGCUACUACGGCUUUGGUCGCACGGUGUACCCGGAGGAGCACAGCAGAUGGAGGGACAGAUCCAGGACGAGGUCGCGGAGCAGAACCCCCUUUCGUUUAAGUGAAAAAGAUCGAAUGGAGCUGUUAGAAAUAGCAAAAGCCAAUGCAGCGAAAGCUUUAGGAACAACCAACAUUGACUUGCCACCUAGUCUCAGAACUGUACCUGUAGCCAAAGAAACAAGCCGUGGAAUAGGUGUGUCAAGUAAUGGUGCAAAGCCUGAAGUAAGUAUUCUAGGUUUGUCCGAACAAAGCUUUCAGAAAGCCAACUGUCAAAUCUGAUUAGCCAUUUAUAUCUUACCUUAAGACUAUACUUUUUGGGAAGUCUAGAGAUAUAUAUAAUGUGCUAAAUUCAAAGUAGCAAAUCUGAAGAUAGGCAAGGUCAUACCCAUGAAAAUGGGAGAUUAAUGAGCUUUAUUUGGCCGUGCAUGGUGCCUCAUGCCUGUAAUGAGGCAGAUGGCUUGAGUCCAGGAGUUCCAGACUAGCCUGGGCAAUGUGGCAAAACCACGUGUUUACAAAAAAUACAAAAAUUAGCCAGGCAUGGUGAUGCCUGUAGUCCCAGCUGUUUGGGAGGCUGAGGCAGGAGGAUCUUUGAGCCCAGGAUGCUAAGGUUGCAGUGAGCCAAGAUUGCACCAUUGCACUCUAGCCUGGGCAGCAGAGUGAGACCCUGUCUCAAAAAAUACAUUUAUUUUUUUCAUUUUCAGUUAACACUAUACUCUUAUAACACCGUUAUUAGCUGGUACUUUGGUGAUUUCUAUUACUAGUUUUUCUAAGCUAUUUACAGAGUGUUUGUAGCAUUCAUUUGCAGCAUUAUGUUCCCACAAAUUCUGUACUCAGCAUAUACAGUAGAGUUUAUCUGCUUUAUUUCUGUCUUAUAGAAAUCAUGAAUGUGGUCUGCAGACAUUGAUGAAGAAAAUCUGUUGAUGUUUUGAGAGAUUACAGAAGAGGAGGCCUGCUUCACUUGCAGAUAAGUUUAUUAUAAUUCUCCAGAAAUGUGCAGGAUGUGCAUUAGCAAAUUGCACUGUACUUUUCACUCCAGCCUGGGUGACAGAGCAAGACUCCCGUUUCGGGGGAAAGAGAAAAAAAAAAGAUGCUGUAUCUAAAUGAAUCUGUGCAAUUGGGCCCAGACGUGGGUUUGCUCAGUGUUAAUAGACAAGGUCUUCGUUCAGACGAUUAGGUGCCUAAUUGGCAAAUGCCUUAGUUUCUUAAAACGAGGUAUUUUCUGACGUGGCUUUACUUUUCAAAAGUUAACUUGAUUCAACCUGAGAAAACUGAUUAAAAAAUUAGUUUAAAUUUGCCAUCAGGGAAGUAAAAUAAUUAUGGGAAGAGUGUCUUGAGCCUAAUAUUAAAUCGGUUUUGUUAAGGGGAAAACUCAAUAGUUCUGUUACUUAGGCUGUUAGAUCCAAGUUGGUUUUUGUGUCUACAACUAAAUUUUGUAUACAAUUAGGCUAUUUUUUAAUAUAGGAUUUAGAAACCAAGGGUAUGUGUUUUAAAAUUACACUUUUUCUUAACCUCUCUAGCUGUUGGAAAAGGUAACAGAAGAUGGAACUCGAAAUCCCAAUGAAAAACCUACCCAGCAAAGAAGCAUAGCUUUUAGCUCUAAUAAUUCUGUAGCAAAGCCAAUACAAAAAUCAGCUAAAGCUGCCACAGAAGAGACAUCUUCAAGAUCACCAAAAA